rnacentral:lncRNA from 1 species
AUAGGAAAGUGUGGAGGUCUAAUAUCAGGGUUGUAGUAUAGGGGCCCCUAGAGUUUUUCGUACUACUCACCCGGGGUUGGGUGAGACUUGACAGGGCUAUCCAUAGAUGCUUUGUGUUUUGGAUUGUGUCUCCCUUAUGGUAGUUAUUUAUGGUAGUUACUGUAUGAUAUUAUUGCAUGCUAUCUAUUUAUGGUUCUUAUGUUUAGUUAGUUACUUAUGCUAUUUCUGCUGGACUUACU